AUUGAACGCUGGCGGCAUGCCUUACACAUGCAAGUCGAACGGCAGCGGGGGAGAAGCUUGCUUUUCCUGCCGGCGAGUGGCGAACGGGUGAGUAAUACAUCGGAACGUGCCCUGUAGUGGGGGAUAACUAGUCGAAAGAUUAGCUAAUACCGCAUACGACCUGAGGGUGAAAGUGUGGGACCGCAAGGCCUCAUGCUAUAGGAGCGGCCGAUGUCUGAUUAGCUAGUUGGUGGGGUAAAGGCCUACCAAGGCGACGAUCAGUAGCUGGGCUGGGAGGACGAUAAGCCAAGCUGGGACUGAGACACGGACCAGACUCCUACGGGAGGCAGCAGUGGGGAAUUUUGGACAAUGGGCGAAAGCCUGAUCCAGCAAUGCCGCGUGUGUGAAGAAGGCCUUCGGGUUGUAAAGCACUUUUGUCCGGAAAGAAAUGGCUCUGGUUAAUACCUGGGGUCGAUGACGGUACCGGAAGAAUAAGGACCGGCUAACUACGUGCCAGCCGCCGCUGUAA
rnacentral:rRNA from 1 species